rnacentral:tRNA from 1 species
UGAGGCUGUAGCUCAGUGGCAGAGUGCUUGCCUAGCAUGCACCAAGCCAUGGGUUCAAUCCCCAGCACCCCUCAA